CUCGGCGGCCUUUCCGGAGAUUGCCGAGGGGCUCCGGCCCCUCCCCAGCCGCCGCCGAGCCCGUGACCGAGGCGCUCCGGUGGGUGGGAGCCCGGCGCUCCCUCUGCUGCUCCGGUCGCGGCGCGGGGCUCGCCGCCCUCCCCCUCCUCCUUGUGCCGCUCCUGCUCCUCCGGCUGCGCCGGGCGCCGCGGUGACAGAGCGGGGCGAUCGCGGCGGGGGGCGGCCGGGGCUCCGGCGGCGCGGAUGGCGGAGGGCGGCCAGCCCCCGCAGCAGCAGCAGCAGCAGCCACAGCCGCAGCUCCUGGCCGGCGGCGGCGCGGGGUCCGCCCGCGGCGUGAAGCGAGAGCCGGAGCUGGAGCAGCCCAUGCCCGGCGGGGACGGCGCCGAGGGCGGCCACAGCAAGCGGCUGCGGACGGAGGCGGAGGCCGACGGCGGCGGCAUGCAGAACGAGCCUCUGACUUCAGGUUAUCAUGGAUAUCCAGCAAGAGACAAUCAAGGUAACCAGGAGCCAGCAGCAACUCCUGAUGCAAUGGUGCAGCCAUUCACCACAAUCCCAUUUCCGCCACCCCCACAGAAUGGGAUUCCCACAGAGUACGGGGUGCCACACACUCAGGACUAUGCAGGCCAGACCAGCGAGCACAAUCUGACACUCUACGGAAGCACGCAGCCGCACGGAGAGCAGAGCACGAACACGGCCAGCACGCAGAACGGAUCUCUUGCACAGACAGAAGGAGGGGCACAGACAGAUGGACAGCAAUCACAGACGCAGAGCAGCGAGAAUACUGAGAGCAAAUCCACUCCAAAACGACUUCAUGUGUCUAACAUUCCCUUCCGCUUCCGAGAUCCUGACCUUCGGCAGAUGUUUGGGCAAUUCGGCAAAAUCCUUGAUGUAGAGAUAAUCUUUAAUGAGCGUGGCUCGAAGGGAUUCGGGUUCGUAACUUUCGAGAAUAGUGCUGAUGCAGACAGGGCCAGGGAGAAAUUACACGGCACCGUGGUAGAGGGCCGUAAAAUCGAGGUUAACAACGCCACUGCUCGAGUGAUGACCAAUAAGAAGAUGGUCACACCUUACGCAAAUGGUUGGAAGUUGAGUCCUGUGGUUGGAGCGGUGUACGGCCCUGAGUUAUAUGCAGCGUCCAGCUUUCAAGCAGAUGUCUCGCUCGGCAAUGACGCCGCAGUGCCCCUCUCAGGAAGGGGGGGUAUUAACACUUACAUUCCUUUAAUCAUUCCAGGCUUCCCCUAUCCAACUGCAGCCACCACAGCAGCCGCAUUUCGGGGCGCCCAUCUGAGGGGCCGAGGAAGGACAGUGUAUGGGGCAGUCCGGGCGGUACCUCCCACAGCCAUCCCUGCCUACCCAGGUGUGGUUUACCAGGACGGAUUUUACGGUGCUGACCUCUAUAAUAGUCUUACAGGAACCAAUCAUUAGCGCUAAAAUACCUCAGGGUGGAUACGCAGCCUACAGAUAUGCACAGCCUGCUACUGCAACAGCAGCCACGGCCGCUGCAGCCGCUGCAGCAGCUUACAGCGAUGGUUAUGGCAGGGUGUACACAGCAGAUCCUUACCAUGCCCUUGCCCCUGCCGCUAGCUACGGAGUUGGCGCUGUGGCGAGUUUAUACCGAGGUGGCUACAGCCGAUUUGCCCCCUACUGAAGUGACGUGAGCCCCCUGCAAGUGGGACAGCCCCCCAAGUCAUGAGGCCUGGCUAUUGCAAUAUUUACUAGUAGAGGAACUCUAUAGCAAGUUGAGGAGGAAAAACAAAAAAACAAAAGAGAAAAUACUUUUUUAUACCUCACUAUGUUCUUUGAAUAUGUAUUUUUUUUCCUUUAAAUUUCUGCCUUUA